rnacentral:piRNA from 1 species
GUAGAGGAAAGGGAAGGUGCUGUGAAGAGG